rnacentral:rRNA from 1 species
UACGUAGGGUGCGAGCGUUCAUCGGAAUUACUGGGCGUAAAGCGUGCGCAGGCGGUUUUGUAAGCCGGGUGUGAAAUCCCCGGGCUUAACCUGGGAAUGGCAUUCGGGACUGCAAGGCUGGAGUGCGGCAGAGGAGACUGGAAUUCCUGGUGUAGCAGUGAAAUGCGUAGAUAUCAGGAGGAACACCGAUGGCGAAGGCAGGUCUCUGGGCUGACACUGACGCUCAUGCACGAAAGCGUGGGGAGCAAACAGG